AGGGCACCACCAGGAGUGGAGCCUGCGGCUUAAUUUGACUCAACACGGGGAAACUUACCCGGCCUGGACACUGGAAGGAUUGACAGAUUGAGAGCUCUUUCUUGAUUCAGUGGGUGGUGGUGCAUGGCCGUUCUUAGUUGGUGGAGCGAUUUGUCUGGUUAAUUCCGAUAACGAACGAGACUCUAGCCUAUUAAAUAGGCUCCCGGCUUUUAAACGCCGGGAGGACUUCUUAGAGGGACAGGUGGCGGUUCAGCCGCACGAAAGAGAGCAAUAGCAGGUCUGUGAUGCCCUUUGUUGUCCGGGGCCGCACGCGCGCUACACUGAAGAGAUCAGCGUGCUUUACGUUCCUGCUCCGACCGGAGUGGGGAACCCAGUGAACCUUCUUCGUGAUUGGGAUAGAAGAUUGUAAUUAUUCUUCUUGAACGAGGAAUUCCCAGUAAAUGCGAGUCAUAAGCUCGCGUUGAUUACGUCCCUGCCCUUUGUACACACCGCCCGUCGCUACUACCGAUUGAACGAUUU
rnacentral:rRNA from 1 species